rnacentral:rRNA from 1 species
AGAGAGAGACAUGCGCGCAUAUCAAUAAGCGGAGGAAAAGAAACUAACAAGGAUUCCCUUAGUAACGGCGAGUGAAGCGGGAAGAGCUCAAAUUUGAAAUCUUCAAGGUUCUACCUUGACGAAUUGUAGUUUAUAGAAGUGUUUUCUGUUAGUGGAGUGGCAAAAGUUCUUUGGAAUAGGACAUCAUAGAGGGUGAGAAUCCCGUAUUUGGUCAUUCCUCCUAGCGUUGUGAUACACUUUCAACGAGUCGGAUUGUUUGGGAAUGCAGUCCAAAAUGGGUGGUAAAUUUCAUCUAAAGCUAAAUAUUGGCGAGAGACCGAUAGCGAACAAGUACCGUGAGGGAAAGAUGAAAAGAACUUUGAAAAGAGAGUUAAACAGUACGUGAAAUUGUCAAAAGGGAAGCGUUUGACACCAGUGUUGCUUUUUCCGAAAAUCAAUUACGAAUGUUUUAGUUUUUGAGGAGUUAUGACUUCAUCGGCUUGCUCCUUUCUUUAUGAAACUUUCUUAAUGCACUUUUCGGUUAACAAGUCAACAUCAAUUUCUUUUGUUGUAAAAGGGUAUGAGGAAGGUGGCUUUCUCUUCGGAGAAAGUGUAUUAUAGCCUUGUACCUCUGCAAUCGGAGAGAUUGAGGUCUGCAGCGUAGAUCCUUCGGGGUUAGAUACGUUUGUGCUAAGUUAUAGCUUUUCAUAGACAACUUGUUGACUAUGUUUAGUCUUGUAGCUUACUCGCUGAUGCUAUUUUACCUACGCUUAGGAUGUUGAUAGUCACAGCGUGUAC